rnacentral:tRNA from 1 species
GGGCCCGUAGCUCAACUGGCAGAGCAGCAGACUCUUAAUCUGUUGGUUCUCGGUUCGAUUCCGAGCGGGCUCACCA